rnacentral:lncRNA from 1 species
ACCUUUUCCUCGCGGCCCGGAACCGCUGGCACCACCACUGCCCAAAGCACAGGGUGCGUCCUUCCUGGGCCUCUUGCUCUGGGGUCGCACGCUGGACCUUAGGAAAUGGUGCUGGUCCUGGGGGCUGCCCUGCGGUGGAGACGGGGUCGGCAGCCCUCUGGGUGGCGCGGGGGCUCCGGAGGCCCGAGGGGUCUGCCCGUCCCUCUUUGUGCUGCUGCUGUCCGCCGCGUCCGCGCCGCCGGGCCCCUCUCCGUCCAGCGACUCCUCAUCGGCCGUCCGCUUGCCCAGCUUCUUGAGCCCUUCCUCCCCGCUGCCGGCGUCGCCCAACUUCACUGUCAUCCUGCGGCGAGAGAGACGAGGAGCGGUGAGGCGGGCGGCAGGCAGAAGUUUACCGCCGGCCUCCCAACAUGGCGGCCGUUGUUUGUUCCAGCGCCGCCCGCCGCCCGCCGCCCGCCCGAGGGCCCACAGAGUGCUGAGCCCGACCGGACCGGGACCCCGCCCCGCCCUUGGAUGCCCCUAACCCAGGUAGACCAACACAGCCCGGAGCCACGGAAGGCACGGCAGCAUGACCUGGCCUCUGCGCUUUGGGUCCCGCAGUACCGCCGUCCCGCCACCACCUAACCCAAGGAGCCGCAGCUCAUGGCCCCCAGCUUGAUCCCGCCUCGCUCCCCGCACUGCCCGUGCCUCCCCUCUGCUCCCGAGCCACGCGCGAUCAAGCCGCGCACCUGCCUAUUGCAACGGCCCGCGCUGCCCUCCGAGCCCCUAGUGCUCCAUAGGCCAAAACUGCCGCUCCCUCCAAAGCUGGCAUGCAAGAGAGAGACUCUGCACUCCGGAAACCUUCCCAGGAGGGAGAUGGCCCGACUACACCUCUCAUUCAACAAAGCCUGUUGCAUAGAACAGGUUAGAGAACACCGGAAAAGUGACAGCAAACACUGUUAUGUUCCAGUCGGAUCUUAAGAAUAGGAACUGAACUAUGUAAACAAUUCUGGAAACAACAAAAUUCUUGCUUUAACUUCUACCACUGUCAUAAGAUAUCGAUAAGCAAAAUAAUAAUUAUCUGUAGCUAGGAGAAAUUAUACUCAGAAUAAACUAAAGUUCAGGU